rnacentral:rRNA from 1 species
CCUAACACAUGCAAGUCGAACGGUAACAGGAAACAGCUUGCUGUUUCGCUGACGAGUGGCGGACGGGUGAGUAAUGUCUGGGAAACUGCCUGAUGGAGGGGGAUAACUACUGGAAACGGUAGCUAAUACCGCAUAACGUCGCAAGACCAAAGAGGGGGACCCUCGGGCCUCUUGCCAUCGGAUGUGCCCAGAUGGGAUUAGCUUGUUGGUGGGGUAACGGCUCACCAAGGCGACGAUCCCUAGCUGGUCUGAGAGGAUGACCAGCCACACUGGAACUGAGACACGGUCCAGACUCCUACGGGAGGCAGCAGUGGGGAAUAUUGCACAAUGGGCGCAAGCCUGAUGCAGCCAUGCCGCGUGUAUGAAGAAGGCCUUCGGGUUGUAAAGUACUUUCAGCGGGGAGGAAGGGAGUAAAGUUAAUACCUUUGCUCAUUGACGUUACCCGCAGAAGAAGCACCGGCUAACUCCGUGCCAGCAGCCGCGGUAAUACGGAGGGUGCAAGCGUUAAUCGGAAUUACUGGGCGUAAAGCGCACGCAGGCGGUUUGUUAAGUCAGAUGUGAAAUCCCCGGGCUCAACCUGGGAACUGCAUCUGAUACUGGCAAGCUUGAGUCUCGUAGAGGGGGGUAGAAUUCCAGGUGUAGCGGUGAAAUGCGUAGAGAUCUGGAGGAAUACCGGUGGCGAAGGCGGCCCCCUGGACGAAGACUGACGCUCAGGUGCGAAAGCGUGGGGAGCAAA